rnacentral:pre_miRNA from 1 species
UUUUAUGGAUAAGCAAAGAAAGUGGCUUCUUAAGAUGGAGUCUACUCCCUAGUGAAAAUGCUGUGAA